CAGCAGCCGCGGUGAGACAGAGGUCCCGAGCGUUGUUCGGAUUCAUUGGGCGUAAAGGGUGUGUAGGAGGUCAGGUAAGUCGUGUGUGAAAUCUCAGAGCUUAACUCUGAAACUGCGCUCGAUACUGCUUGGCUAGAGGAUCGGAGGGGGUAACGGAAUUUAUGGUGUAGCAGUGAAAUGCGUAGAUAUCAUAAGGAACACCGGUGGCGAAGGCGGUUACCUGGAAGAUUCCUGACUCUGAAACACGAAAGCCAGGGGAGCAAACGGGAUUAGAUACCCCCGUAGUCCCUGUCUCUUAUAC
rnacentral:rRNA from 1 species